GUCCACGCCGUAAACGAUGUCAACUAGCCGUUGGGAACCUUGAGUUCUUAGUGGCGCAGCUAACGCAUUAAGUUGACCGCCUGGGGAGUACGGCCGCAAGGUUAAACUCAAAUGAAUUGACGGGGCCCGCACAAGCGGUGGAGCAUGUGGUUUAAUUCGAAGCAACGCGAAGAACCUUACCAGGCCUUGACAUCCAAUGAACUCUCCAGAGAUGGAUUGGUGCCUUCGGGAACAUUGAGACAGGUGCUGCAUGGCUGUCGU
rnacentral:rRNA from 1 species